rnacentral:rRNA from 1 species
GAUAUUUUUAUUAAAGAAUUUCGGUUAUCGAUGGGGAUGCGUUCCAUUAGUUUGUUGGCGGGGUAACGUCCCACCAAGACUACGAUGGAUAGGGGUUCUGAGAGGAAGGUCCCCCACAUUGGAAGUGAGACACGGUCCAAACUCCUACGGGAGGCAGCAGUGAGGAAUAUUGGUCAAUGGGCGAGAGCCUGAACCAGCCAAGUAGCGUGAAGGAUGAAGGCUCUAUGGGUCGUAAACUUCUUUUAUAUGGGAAUAAAGUUUUCCACGUGUGGAAUUUUGUAUGUACCAUAUGAAUAAGGAUCGGCUAACUCCGUGCCAGCAGCCGCGGUAAUACGGAGGAUCCGAGCGUUAUCCGGAUUUAUUGGGUUUAAAGGGAGCGUAGGUGGAUUGUUAAGUCAGUUGUGAAAGUUUGCGGCUCAACCGUAAAAUUGCAGUUGAAACUGGCAGUCUUGAGUACAGUAGAGGUGGGCGGAAUUCGUGGUGUAGCGGUGAAAUGCUUAGAUAUCACGAAGAACUCCGAUUGCGAAGGCAGCUCACUAGACUGUCACUGACACUGAUGCUCGAAAGUGUGGCUAUCAAGCAGGAUUAGAUACCCUGGUAGUCCACACAGUA